rnacentral:rRNA from 1 species
GACGGAGGAUGCAAGUGUUAUCCGGAAUCACUGGGCGUAAAGCGUCUGUAGGUGGUUUAAUAAGUCAACUGUUAAAUCUUGAGGCUCAACCUCAAAAUCGCAGUCGAAACUAUUAGGCUAGAGUAUAGUAGGGGUAAAGGGAAUUUCCAGUGGAGCGGUGAAAUGCGCAGAUAUCAGGAGGAACACCGGUGGCGAAGGCGGAUCUCUGGGCCGUAACUGACGCUGAGGAGCGAAAGCAUGGGGAGCGAACAGG